GCAGGGGGCAAUCCCAACCCCACCACCGGGAACACCCAGGCCAAAAGAACGGGAGUUACACUCAAAGUCUUCCCCCUUCUUAUCACUCCUGCCGAUUUCCCUCUUCCUUUUUGCACGCCUCCACUCUUCCCCACCGGAAACGCCGCCCCUUCCUCCUACAGUUCCUCCCAGCAGUCCCUCAACGCUUGUCUUCCCUCGCGCGUAGAGAGUGACUCGAAGGACCGCCUCUCCUCUUCGCUGCAGCCCCUCCCCAUGCACGCUGGGAGACUCUUGGAGGGGAUAAGACACUGUUCUGGUUAUGAUGGACACCACAAUGAAAGAGACCUGGUCCCUGUCUUGAGGAAAUCCAACUGCUGGUAGAGAGCUCAGAGUAAUGAUUAGGAUGCAAUAUGAGGGAUGCAGUAAUUGGGAUCUACUUCUGGGAACCGUCACAGCCUGAGAAAGAUGGCAUGCCCUGAAUGGAAUUCACAGAGAAUUAUUUUAAGUCAUGCUACUGGCCCCGCCCAGUUAUGUAACAACUUGCAUUUCCUCAAUUCUCUGGAAUGUGGCCAGUCAGGAACUUCCACAUUUGGUUUUUUUUUUUUUUUUCCCCCCAUUUGUGGGUAAGAAAGUAAAAGAGGCAGGAAAACUGAAUUGAGAAAGAAGAAAGAAUAGGGGAAGAGAGAAAGAAAAAAGAAAACCAUGAAGCCUGGAAGAGGAGAAAGAAGAGAUAGAUGAGCAAAGAAGCACAUUGCCUGGUGGUAGUAAUAGUUGUCAGACACCCAUCUAUUAUAAUCUGUUUUCCAUGGGAGAUUUUAAGAAGAGGCUAGAUCCCCAGUCUGUCUUAAAAUCAAGAAAAGGGACUCUGUUGCCUCUAAAGUAUACUUCCAGACUCAGCAAUCUCUAAAUUCUGAGUGGGGCAUCCCUAGUUUUGCUGCCUAAAAUCUAUGACAGUUGGAAAUGAUUCCAUUUAAGAUCCAGUUCAAGAAGCUAUACACCCUGAGGAACUUUAUAUUGCCAUUUAAAGGACUGAUAUUCUCCAGAUUGCUUGAGCCCAGGAGUUCGAGACCAGCCUGGGCAACAUGGCAAAACUCCAUCUCUACCAAAAAAAAAAAAAAACAAAAUUAGCUGGGCAUGGUGGUACACAUCUGUAGAACCAGCUACUCUGGAGGCUGAGCUGAGAGAACCCCUUGAGCCUAGGAGAUGGAGGUUGCUGUGAGCCAAGAUCGUGCCACUGCACUCAAGCCUGGGUGACAGAGCCAGACCCUAUCUCAUAAAUAAAUAAAUGUCAAUAUUCUC
rnacentral:lncRNA from 1 species